CCGGCAUGUAGGUGUAAACAAAAGAGGUGUGGAGGAAACCCAUAGGGGGGUUAAUGAUGAGAGGGCAGGCGCCUCCCAGUCAUCAUCCAGCCUCCAUCACACUAGUGCCUGCCUCCACAUUUAGGAUAUACUGUUGGUUUCUUAUAGUUUGGCAUUCAUGUUGCAAACUGCAAAACUUAGCAGGUGGGACACAAAACAGGGAAAGUAAACUGAUGCAAUAAGUAGCCUAUAUUAUACUUUUGCCUUGUGCAUAUGAUUUGCUGUGUAAAGACUUUAAAAUUAAUGUUUUCAAAAGUCAUUCUUACUCCACAUAAUUUCAAAAACAUUUCACAAAGAAAAAAUUCUGCAACAAAAGUAUGGGUAGGCUUUGUUUAAACUUUUUUAUUUUUCUCCUUUUAAAUCCACUUCAAUCAGCAUAAUUAAGUUUUUGAACAGGGGAGAAACAUUUAUAAAAUAGACUAAAACAGAGAAAGUAAACUGAUGCAAUAAGUAUAGCCUAUAUUAUACCUUUGCCUUAUACAUAGGAUUUACUGGAACAGCUUUGUUCCAGCUGCAAUUGUUCAUUUAAAUAAGUCCUAGCAGCUUUUGCACAUAUUUAUGGAAAGUUUAUCCCUUUUCUCAUUUGAUUGUGUCUUUUUUGUCCUGAUAUUUCAGUGUUUUUUUUAUAUUGUUCUUGUGGCCUUCUUUUUGCUGGGUCCUGAUCCCAGUAAGUCUUUGAGUAGUCUUUGUCAUGUUUUUGGUGUGUCUGUCUCUUGUCUGUGCUCCAGCUUAUUGUCAAUACGGAUGCCGUCCUCUAUUUUUGCUGCAAAACAAAUCUACCUACGGGUAUAAAUGAAGUCACCUGAACCU